CCUAGGUUGUGAUGCCUAGCAAUUCCUGGAAAUGGAACAUUUAAUCGAAUGUCAGACCUCUCCUCAGGAAAAGACAAGCGUUUGUUCGCAGCGUAAGAGCAAUCUUACCUUUGAACACCAGCUGCCUUUAAGGAACCAUGGACAGUCUGACUGAACAGCUUCUGAACAGUUUGGAAUGGCAGAAAUCGAUAGUCCUGUCGGCUAACGUUUGAUCCAGCAACCUCUUAAUGGGUUAAAGUGGAAAAGUCUUGAGCUCUUGAUGCUUGUUUAUGUUGGCUCUCCAGUCAUAAUGCAAGGUCAUUUUCUCUGUACUGAAAGUUUCUCUUUACUGUUCACCUCAUCAAAUGCUUUCUAAGCACAGUUUACUUGAAAUGUUCAUCUUUAAAUUGACUACUACUGCUCAUGUUGGCCAAAAAAUCAUUUUAACAAGCUCAAAAAAAUUCUGUCGGGGCUCUCCAGACGUCUACCUCAGACAAUACUCCAGUGCUUUAUUCUGCAAGACAAGCAUGUCUUCCCCGGUUCCUCGCUCGGAGGAACGUACAUGCUAAUUUGGAGCUGUCUGGCCCCUAUCUCUUAGCACAGACUUUGUCCGUUAAUUGCCAUGGUAAUUUUCAUCGUGCUCUUGAGUAGAUCUGUUUGAAUGGGUUUAUGCUGGCGGAGCUCUCUUGCAGUUUGUAUGAAUCACAAAUGAAUCUUGCGUCUGAUGAACCAAGCACAAAAAGCUCAGGGAUUUGCAGUGUAGCGUAACGGUUGAUCUAAAUCAUACUAACGUUUUUUUACCUUCUGGAUAAAGGUCUUAUUUGCCCUAAUUGAGAGCUUUCCAUAAAUUCUGCUUUGCUCAUCCCCCCCCCCCACCACCCCGGGGUUCGAUCCCGUCAUUCUGACCAAUUACCGCCGCUGACAGUGUGUCCGUCCCCCCGCAGAGCCGCCACUGGUUGCCUACUGGCUAACAGGACUAAUGCCUUAUUGCAUUAGAGACAAAUCAGUCCUCUGCACAGAUUUUAAUAAGCAUUAGCCACUGCUCAAGUGCCAUUGAACAAUUGGAAAUGGGUGCACGUGGGUAGGAGGUUGACCGGUUUGUAUGCAGGCUUCACUGUAAUGAGAAAUCGCAAAAGCAGAUAAUGGAAAUAUUUAAUUCAUUUCCCAGACAGAUGCUUAGGGGGUAAAGAAAACUACUCUCAAGGAGGAAAUGUUCAAACCCACUGCAAGCACUUAAUGGGUCUUUGUUUACACGGUCAUAUCUGUUUGCGUCGGGCAUGCGUGGCCUACUGCUGCUGGGGAAAUGCCUCUGGGGUAAUGUGCAAGGCAUGUGUGGCGGUCUGAAACUGGGGGAUUGUGGCUUGGCAGCUCUUUCCUCUUAACACACAUCGUGCAUGCUGAAAA